CCUACGGGGGGCAGCAGUGGGGAAUAUUGCACAAUGGGGGAAACCCUGAUGCAGCAACGCCGCGUGAGCGAUGAAGGCCUUCGGGUCGUAAAGCUCUGUCCUAAGGGAAGAAUACUGACGGUACCUUAGGAGGAAGCCCCGGCUAACUACGUGCCAGCAGCCGCGGUAAUACGUAGGGGGCUAGCGUUAUCCGGAAUUACUGGGCGUAAAGGGUGCGUAAGCGGCCCUUCAAGUCAGAGGUGAAAGGCUACGGCUCAACCGUAGUAAGCCUUUGAAACUGUAGGGCUUGAGUGCAGGAGAGGAGAGUGGGAAUCCCAGGGUAGGGGGGGAAUGCGGAGGUAAUGGGAGGAACACCAGGUGGGAAGGGGGCUCUCUGGACUGUAACUGACGCUGAGGGACGGAAGGGUGGGGAGCGAACAGGAUUAGAUACCCGGGUAGUC
rnacentral:rRNA from 1 species